AUAUUCAUCGUUAUUCAAAGCAGUACUAAGGUCGACAUAGAAGUUCGCUAAACUUUCGCGCGCUGAAUAUCCACGGCGAAAACCAAAUUGAUUCGAUGGUAAUAUACUAUUACUUUCAAUAAAGAACUCUAAACGCUGUUUAAUUAAUUGUUCGAAUAAUUUGCCUGCACAGGACGUCAAUGUUAUAGGUCUAUAGGAGUCGAAAUUUGUAGGAUCUUUACCGGGUUUAAUUACUGGAAUCAAACAAUCCAUUUUCCAUUCUGGUGGGAUAAUACAGUCCUUCCAUAAAUCGUUAAAAAUUUGUAAGAGUUUAGUAAGGUUUAUUUUAUUCAGCAAUCGAAACAUAUUGUAUGUUAAGCGAUCAAGGCCACUAGCUGUAUCUUUUCUAGAUUUUACUGCACUGGAUAUUUUAUCAAUUGAGAAUGGGUCAGUGAGAAAUUUUGGGCAUGAAUUAACAGAAUUAAACUGUUUGUCAUCAAAAGGUGAGUGUACAAAAUCAGGAGUAUAUUUGCGUAAAAAAUCAUUGACCCAUGAUAUAUCUUUAAAAUGAUUUUGACGAUGUUUUGAAUUUAGUUUUCUCAUAUUUUGCCAAACAGUGGAAAUUGGUGUUAAUCUAUUAAAUUUGGAACAAAAUUCCUGCCACCCCUGUUGUCUUACUUGCUUAAUUACUAACUUUUUAACAGCUUGAACUCUUUUAAAAUUUAUGUAAUUAUCGAGAGUUGGAUUUUGUUUAAACCUAAGGUAAGCCGCUUUACUAUCAUUGACAGCUGUCGCACACCUGUUAUUCCACCAAGGUACUGCAAUAUGUUUGUGCCUCUUUGAAGUAUUUGCACCGCUAUUUGAUAAGUUCCUACGUGGAACGGAACGUUCCACAGCUGUCAAAAUAAUUUUACAGAACCUAUUGUAAUUGUUUAAGGGUUCAUUGACAUCAUACUCGAAAUCCAAAAGUAAUCGAUUAACAGUUUCAGAAUAAAGAUCCCAAUUAACGAGACGUAGGUUUAUACGAUUUAACAAAAGUUUAUUAACUUCAUCUAUAGGAGCAUGUUGUUCACCUGACGGAGUUGAUGAAGAGUUCUUUGUGUUUAUUUUAGUAAAAGUCGGCAGAUGCUGCAACGCUCAGAAUUCUUACAGAAUUUAGCUAAAUGUCCAUACCUCAAGCACCGGUAGUUGUUUAACUGGUGGUAUAUAUGGAGUGACAUUGUGGCGCCAACCUCCAAUAUCCAGAUAUUCAGGUAAUACAGAUGCAGCAAAAGUAAUUGUCACGGUUAGAGUUGGCUGUAACACAUAUCCAUGAGUCAAGAUUCUGAGUCAGUAGAAGUAUCUUCCGAAUAUAUAUCCUUGUCAUUACAAGGUUCAUGGUCUACAUCACCUGAAUCGUCAUCUUUUUUUUUCCUUUUUCUACAACUGCGCUUCCCCAUGAAUGCUAAUUAUAUUACUGUCGCUGAAUUUAGUGAAAAUAUAAUAUUUUAUUCAAUAAUAAGAAUUGAUAGAGAUAGUUUUAAUAAAUUAAUAAAAAAAAUUUAAAAAACCCGCUUGUUCUUAUUCGAGUUUCCCGCC